rnacentral:rRNA from 1 species
CCUACGGGAGGCAGCAGUGGGGAAUAUUGCACAAUGGGGGAAACCCUGAUGCAGCGACGCCGCGUGCGUGAAGAAGUAAUUCGUUAUGUAAAGCUCUAUCAGCAGGGAAGAAAAUGACGGUACCUGUGUAAGAAGCCCCGGCUAAAUACGUGCCAGCAGCCGCGGUAAUACGUAGGGGGCAAGCGUUAUCCGGAUUGACUGGGUGUUAAGGGAGCGUAGACGGCAGUGCAAGUCUGGAGUGAAAGGCGGGGGCUCAACCCCCGGACUGCUCUGGAAACUGUACGGCUGGAGUGCAGGGGAGGUAAGUGGAAUUCCUAGUGUAGCGGUGAAAUGCGUAGAUAUGAGGAGGAACACCAGUGGCGAAGGCAGCUUGCUGGAGUGUAACUGACGUUGAGGCUCGAAAGCGUGGGGAGCGAACAGGAUUAGAUACCCUUGUAGUC